GUCAGUCCACCUUGGCUUAAUCUAUUCCCUUCUCCAGGCAUUUUCUUGGCAGGCACUUCACUCAAAGAACAUGUUUUAACAGCAGGAAAACCACCUCAAAAUCCCAAACCAAACAAGUCAACACCUCUGAAGAACCUGAAUAAACCACAUCGUUCUUAUCAAAAGUCAGAUGCCAAGAUAGCAAAGCUGGCAGGCUGAGGUGUUGUGGCAUUCCUUGAAGGGAGUCUCCAGUCAUGAACACUGUGUGUACAGAGCUCUUCUGCUUGCAAGUGUCUCUCUCUCUCUCUAACAAUCAGAUCCAGAGAUCCAGCACCCCACUCUGGAGAGCCUUUGCUACCCCUCUGGCAGCCUUGUGCCCUGGAGUACUCCUGUGUGGCAGGUGAUGACAGCUGACAGGCAGAAGCAGCUGGUGCCACCAGGCUCUGCUGUUCAGAACAGGGGGUGCAGAAGCUUUCAGAAGCCAUGAGUUGCUCUAACAAAGGAGGGACCACACAGACUCAAGCCACUCACAAAAGGACCCAGGCCGAUUAUUUGACUAUUACUUACAAGGAAGCUCGGCCAGUAACGUAGGCAAUAAAUACUGGAGAAACCUGUUCUGUGCAUAACCCAGGUUUGUCUUUUCACAAGUCCUGCUCUCUAAUUAGCUACUCAUUCCUCGAGGGCACUGCUGAUGGAUGGAGUGUAUCAAUUUGAUUUAUUUUUAAAAGUCAAGAAACUUGCUAAAUAAUAAGCACUCUGUAGUGUUAGGAACAGUCACUAGUGCUCCUUCCUAGUCCCACCAGAGAAGAGUAUUCCUGUGCUUUCUACUUUGCAGAAAAGACUCAGUGGCAGAGAGUCUGUAACUCACAAGGGCUGCAGUGCCCGAUGAGAACUCAGAAGUGCCCAGCUUUUGAUCCUGCAUUCAACCCCUGUUCCAUUUGCACAGAAGGACUCAACUGCUCUGCAAGCAGAAGUGAAACCCUGCAGCACUGCCUGGCCGUGCACAGCUGUGACCCCCCCAGCUCUACUUCACCCAGGCCCUGACCUCUCCAAGGAGUUCCUCCUGUGCUCUGGGACAGGAGCUCUCGGAGUGGCACCUUCCCACACAUCUGCUGGACACUCAGCCAAGCACAGGGUGCUGAGCCAGGCACGACCAGCAGUGUAAUAGCACAGAAAUAGAGCUGUUCUACAGCCCAGGGAGCCAAGUAGAAACUUCUGCUCUCUCCUCCUUAUCUUUUGUUCUAGCCCUCAUUGCUGUUUCUCAUUCCUGUCUCCUACUUCCCUCCUUCUGCUGGUGUGUUCCCCUCCUCUCCAAGGCCUAUCUGCCCCUCCAUCGCCUGCUCUGCUCCAGUGUACAGGGCUUCAGAGUCAGCUGUCCCAACCCUGAAACUGGUUGCUCCUACUCACCAGCUGCCUCCUCCCCAGAAAGGAAGAAAUUCCAGUAUUUCAACAUUUGCUCUCAUCCCAAUUCGGGCAGAAAAACUGAAAUUAGAGACUAUGUAGAAUGGAAGUUCACAAGUUUAAAAAGAAACAAAAAAAAAAAAAAAAAAGAAACCUAUUUGUGAACACCAGUGCAUUCUGUGUCAUUUGAAAUGGAAUAUUUUACAUUACUGAAACCACAGUUAGUUCAUUUUGGUUUGGUGACCUGACCUGAGAAAUUUUGUUCUGAGUCAGUACAAUGUUAAGCUGCUUUUCUUCCCAUAGUGUUGCACUGCCCAGUCACUGCAGCUUGGCAGCCUGGUCCCCACUUCUGGAUGAGACUCCCGUGCUGGAAGGCAGUUCCCAAAGCACACACUGAGGUCUCCUGUGGCACAGCAUGGCCCCUGGGAGACCUGUGCUGCCAUGGGAAGGCCAGGGCCCUUAGAGUCCAGCAGAAUAGGUACCUCAGUCAACAGCUCUCUGAGCAGUCAAGGAUGACCUGGAAUCCAGUGCAAUGUUUUGAACCAAUCCCAAGUGAAGCCUUUUAGAUCAGUUAGAGAAAAGCAAAACAAAGAGGUAUUCCCAUUCAGGCAGCACAGGCAGGUCAAUGUAACACUUCUGGUAAAAGCUAGUUAAUUAAUUUUGCGGGAGAUCAGAAAUCUAGCAUUGUGCUUUUCUAGGAGAAAAACAAUGUUUCCAUUUUAAAGACACUACGCUGUUCCCUGAAAAAGUCACUCCAAAGAAUAUUCAGAUCAGUCUCCCACUGACCACAGCAGCAUUCCUACAAACUGGCUUAAAAGUAAUACCAUGAACAAAUCUCACUCCUGCAGAAACUUCCUCAAGCAGGGAACUUAAAUUAUAGCAAUAUCAGCACCCUUCUGCCUCCUGCACAGCUCCUGGCAUGAGCUAAGGACUGUAGGAUUUAGUUCAUCAGCCGAGCUUAACGACUAGUUUAGAGUCUGACAAGUAUUGAACCAGGGGUUUCCAACAGAUGUCUGACCAGUCAAUACCUUGCUGCUUCAAGCCAAGGCACAGGCACAGCUUUUAUGAGCAGUUGGUAUAAACAACUGCUGGUGGAGCUGCUGAAGGCUCUGAGUUCUGCCCCAAACGUUAGGGUGCCACCAACUCAUGCUCAGCAAAUAGUUCUUAAAACAAGUGGAGAGGACUCAGAAGGAAGAUUAGUAUGCAUUCACAAAAAGCUAUUUUAGUAGUUUUCCUGUAGACUCUAUAAUGUUCUUCCCCUAGGUCUGUAUAUUUGAGAGAAGGCAGAGUGUGUGUCUAUAUGGAUGGAUUUGAUUUGCUCUUGAAAAAAAAAAGAAAAGGAGAGACACUUAGCCUGUACUUUCAGUGCUGGAA